GCCUAUACUUAGUCUGGGGGUGCCUCCAAAAAUGUGAGGUAGAUUGUGUCCCCCUAUCUUAUAUGACCCUCAAAGGUAACCCAUACAGCUUAAACAUGUGCUCUACAAAGAACUGCGCUGUCUGCUGUAAAAACACGCUGGGAAGGCUGUCAACUUCCCACAUCUUCGGAGCAUCUCUCCGGUGGUCCUCUCUGGCUAUAAAUCUCCCUCAGUCCAGAGAGACCGGUAAUAAGCGACCCUUCUCUCCUGAAAAGAGCAUGCCAGUCUUCUGAUAUCUCAUAGCAGAAGAAAGACUCAAUCGUAGUUCUAAACUACUUUAUUUACAGUCUCAUAUACAGAAACUCCAUCAGUACAUCUGUGCUCUCUGAACACCAGUACAGAACUACGACACAAUACAGAAGUGAAACCAACUUCCAACAGUACUCAGAAGGAAGAGAUAAUACAGACUUCCUUUCUCACGCUCUCUCAGACACUUACAUAAUGUACACAAAUCAUAGUACCAUUCACUAGCGCAGCUCGGAUAGAUUAAAAAUCCUAACAUACCCUCCCUUUUUAGAUAACCGUAGCUGCGUAAGUUAGUGCAGCAUCAAGUGACAUAAACAAACAGUUGUCAUACACAUAGUAUACCCCUGUUGUACCAGUUCCACCUUUGGAACUACCUGCAACUGGAUCGACCAGUUCAAACCUCUGGUUACCUUUCUGCCAUGGGAGUAGAGCUUUUGCUCUAUCUUGGUCUGAGGAAACAGUGUUGACUCUUGCAACCUUCAGGUGUAGUUUUGUCUCUCCUUGUACCUCACUCAAGACCUCAGUGUCUGAAACCUGGUUUGAGCUGCUAGCCACAGCUAUACAUGCAACAGCUGUGUUAGCAAACUCCCGAGAGCACCUCUUGGGUGGCAGUCCCUUUGUGACUCUCUCAGAUCUACGUAUCAGGUGCAGAUCCUCUUUGCUGGCUGGUUCUUCCUUGGGAGAACGUUUGGGAGAACCACAACCAACAGUAAACAGUGGCUCUGGCAAUUCCAGUUCAGCCUCAGACAAUGGCCUGGAGAUUGCUUGUGUAUCUCUCUCAAGAACUGUGUCGUCUGUACUACAACUCUCAGUGGUGCUUUCAGUGUCACUCUCAGUGUCAGAAUCUACAUCUGUGUUAGCAUUGAUGGGGAAACUGUGGAGAACCUCUCUCUCCUGUUGUGCAGUGUAUUCUACUUCCCUAGUAAGAAUUACUGUGUCAGAAUCAGGCAAUAAAACUCUGUAUUGACCUUUCUCAUAACCCAUGAAAAUGCCCUGUGCACCUUUUGCACCUUGUGGUGUUUCUAUCCACAUGUGAGACCCGAAAACCUUUAAGUGCUUGACAGAAGGUUUUCUCUGGAACAGUCUCUCAAAAGGAGAACUUUCCAUACCUGUGGAAACCUUUCUUACCCACGUGUAAGAAAAAGCAUUCAGCAACUCAGCUCAAAACUUUUGGGGCAAACCUGCACUUAGCAGUUGUGCUUUAAUGCCUUGUUGCAACUCUGUGUUCACCUUGACGCAUACACUCUUGUUCCAUGAAGCUUCUGAGACAGCAACCUUGUGCUCAAUCUCCUGUUCACCUAGGGACUUUUGAAAUUCCUGUGAAACAAAAACCUGCUUUUCAUCAGUGAAAAGACAUUCAACAUUAGCAUCUUGAACAAAUUUUACCUUAUCACAAAAUUCUCUGAACUUUCUUAAAGUUUGCUGCGGUCUCUGCAACAUAUGCACCCAAACAUACUGAGAAAAACAGUCAACCAUUAUCAGGUAAUACUUGGCUUUGCCUCUAGAAGGCAGUAGAGGUCCAACCACUUCAGCAUACACUCGCUGGAAAACUCUGGUGACUUUUUUAGGUUUCUUGCCUGUCGCACCUGUAACACAAGACACAUCAACAACAUUAUAAUCCUUACAAUCAGUAUUAUCAAAGGACAGCAAAUAAAGUCCAUCUUCUUUGUGGGCGUACAGAAGUGGUGUUCCAUCUCUGGAGAUCACACAUCUCUUCUUGUUGCUUGAAACCUCAAACUCCUGCUCAGUCAGUUGUGAUACACUCAACAGGUUAUAAGCUAAACCUGGAACAAAAUAGACAUUGCUAAUCGUGGUUUGGAGGCUCUCAAGAAACACUGUUCCAAACCCAGUGGCUUCCAAAUCAUGAUAUGGUGUAACGCUGUUCCUCAAACAUGGUAAACAACCCCUUGCGUCCAGUCAGAUGAACUGUGGCUCCCGUGUCGACAACAAAUGCAUUCCAAGUUGACAAUGACGUCUUCGGUGUAAUCAUAGCAAGUGCUUGCUUGGACUGGGGCUUAGCACGCUCCCUCUGCACCAUUCUGCUACCGGCCCCUCCUUUCUCUGAGCUAUUCUUAUGGACUAUCUGGAUUACAAAAUUGUAUUUAUGGGGGAUUUGAAUGGGGUAGUCUCAACAAUGAUGGAUAGAACCCAAAGGCAAAAACUUACUAAUGAUGGGAGGCUACCAAAGAUGUUUUUUGAGAUGGUGGACAAUUUUGACCUGGUGGAUAUUUGGAGAUUGAGGAAUCCAAUGGAGAAAGAUUUUACAUUUUUUUCAGAUGCAAAUCUAUUGUCUAGUCGCCUGCAUUAUAUAUAGCUAACGAAAGACUUGACCCCAAGAGUGACUAAAUAUGAGAUCUGUCCAAGGACUUGUUCCGAUCAUAAUGCUGUGUUAACAGAAUUAAAAUUGUCUCUACAGGGUUCUUUCAGAUGGCGGAUGAAUGAUGCUUUACUCAGAAAUUAUUUGAUUGUUAAUAAAGCUCAGAAGACCCUAAAGGAUUAUUUUGAAUUGAACCUGAAUCCUGGAACUGAAGCAAGGGUCGUAUGGGAUGCAAGUAAAGCAGUAAUGCGAGGUUUCCUGAUCCAACAGAACUCUAUUAGGAAGAAAGCACAGAAUGAACAAAAGGAAAAAAAUCCUGUCUCAACUGAAGGAAAAAGAGAAAAAACUGAGAUGAGAUGUAAUCCCAAAAAUCAACAGAUUCAAAAGGAGAUUAAGGUGUUACAAUCCACAAAUAGUAAAUCGAGAAAUUGAAUGGAAAAUUAAAUUGAUGAAACAAAAGACUUUUGAAUCGGCAAAUAAAUGUGGGAAAUUAUUGGCUUGGCAAUUGAAAAAAGAGACAAAAGGAGAGUACAAUAAUUAACAUUAUGGAGGAUGGAAAGAAUAUUGAGAACCCAGCAGAGAUUAGAAAAUGCUUUCAAAAAUACUGUAAGCAGCUUUAC